ACUCAAAGGAAUAGACGGGGGCCCGCACAAGCAGCGGAGCGUGUGGUUUAAUUCGACGCAACGCGCAGAACCUUACCGGGGCUUGACAUGUAUUCGCAACGCCGAGAGAUCGGCGCCUCCGCAAGGACGUUUACACAGGUGCUGCAUGGCUGUCGUCAGCUCGUGUCGUGAGAUGUUGGGUUAAGUCCCGCAACGAGCGCAACCCCCGUGGCUAGUUACUCUGUCUAGCCAGACUGCCGAGAGAAACUCGGAGGAAGGUGGGGAUGACGUCAAGUCAGCACGGCCCUUACGUCCCGGGCUACACACACGCUACAAUGGCUACGACAGAGGGCUGCCAAGGCGCGAGCCGGAGCAAAUCCCACAAACGUAGCCUCAGUUCAGAUUGUAGGCUGCAACUCGCCUACAUGAAGCCGGAGUUGCUAGUAACCGCAGGUCAGCACACUGCGGUGAAUAUGUUCCCGGGCCUUGUACACACCGCCCGU
rnacentral:rRNA from 1 species